GCCAGCGUGGUGUAGUGGUUUGAGCAUGACAACUAGGAGUCUGGAGGCCGGGGUUCAAAUCCCUGCUCUGUCA